rnacentral:rRNA from 1 species
CCUACGGGAGACAGCAGUGAGGAAUAUUGGUCAAUGGACGCAAGUCUGAACCAGCCAUGCCGCGUGCAGGAAGACGGCUCUAUGAGUUGUAAACUGCUUUUGUACGAGGGUAAACGCAGAUACGCGUAUCUGUCUGAAAGUAUCUUACGAAUAAGGAUCGGCUAACUCCAUGCCAGCAGCCGCGGUAAUACGGAGGAUUCAAGCGUUAUCCGGAUUUAUUGGGUUUAAAGGGUGCGUAGGCGGUCGGAUAAGUUAGAGGUGAAAUCCCGAGGCUCAACUUCGGAAUUGCCUCUGAUACUGUUCGGCGAGAGAGUAGGUGCGGUAGGCGGAAUGUAUGGGGUAGCGGUGAAAUGCUUAGAGAUCAUACAGAACACCGAUUGCGAAGGCAGCUUACCAAGCUACUUCUGACGUUGAGGCACGAAAGCGUGGGGAGCAAACAGGAUUAGAUACCCUUGUAGUC